UACGUAGGGGGCAAGCGUUGUCCGGAUUAUUGGGCGUAAAGAGCGUGUAGGCGGCUUUGCAAGUCCGUUGUGAAAACUCGAGCUCAACCUCGAGACGCCGGUGGAAACUGCAAAGCUAGAGUCCGGAAGAGGAGAGUGGAAUUCCCGGUGUAGCGGUGAAAUGCGCAGAUAUCGGGAAGAACACCCGUGGCGAAGGCGGCUCUCUGGGACGGUACUGACGCUGAGACGCGAAAGCGUGGGGAGCAAACAGGG
rnacentral:rRNA from 1 species